UGGCAAGCACAGUUUAACAGCUCCAAUACAACCACUUUCUCUGAACUUUCUGAGGAAAACUCAGAUUUUCUCCUCCAAGUCUAGUUUUCAAAACCAUGUUUUGAAAGUCUCCACAAAGUUAAUUAUAGAUGUUUAGCAGUCUGGCAACCUAAAAUGGCUUAAUUGACCUUGGUUAGAAUGCUGUUUAUCAUGCCUUUGAGAACACUGUUCCAUUAAUGAUUUGGAAGUCAGCAGCAUUAUGAUAUCAAAUGUUUCUAAUUAGAUCAAAUUACUCAAAGGGCUAGUUUGUUUGUGUGUUUGUUUCUGACAACAGUGAUUAAGUGGUAUAGUGACUGCUAGGGCAGAAUUUCAGAGUGUUACUAUUCUAUCUUAACUUCUUAGUAAUUUUCUGUCAAUAGCGUUAUCAGGAAACCUCUGUGUAUAUGUUACUCUAGAUCUGUCUAAAAUAAGCAAUACCUACCAGGUGAUCCUUUUGAUUUUGUUUCCCUUGAACAAAUAACUACUGUCGAAGGUGAAAAAAAAAAAAAAAAAAAGGUUGCUUUUCAAAUGGAAUUUCUUUUCAGUUCUCCCAUUGUCAUAGUUUCACAAGUGAGCAAUUUCACAUUUUAUUCUGAAAUAGCUUGAGGCAGGUGCCUAGAGGAUGGGGAGAAUGGCAGACUCCAUUUCCUUGUGGCAUAUAUUAAAUUUUAAAGAGUAUAUUUACUUGGGCUUCUGCUGGAUUUAGUCAAACUUUAGCUGACAAAUAAGUAAUUCUAUUCUAAAUAUUUUUUUUUCCUGUACUGAAGUUUCACCUCUCCUCAUUGAGCCUUCAGGAUUUCUGCAUUUUUGCAUAUAGUACAGUGUUUUUGUUAACAACCAAUACAGUAAAGACCAUGCUGUAAAUGAGAAAAUUCAAAUAAAGAGAUAAAUUUUCAGGGGGGGGAACCAGGACAUUGAUUUACAUAUUGUUUUAAUACAGAAAAGGACAAUACCUCAUAAAAAAGUUUCAUUUGUACCCUCAUUGCUAUUUACUGUUACUGUUGCUGUAUCAAUAGCUAUUAUAUUGCGCUGCAGGACCUUAUGUUUAAAUCUCUUCUAACUACACCGGCUUUUUCAAGCAUAUCUUUUAAAAGGCUAGUUUGCACCAGAAAACUUCUGGUGUUGGUGCAAAUGCAUUCGGAUGAGGUGAUGUUAAUACCUGCACAAAGUGGAAUUAAGGGUACAUUAUCCACAUUUGCCUCACUGGAUCCCUUAGAUUGUUGGAAAAUAAGGAUUAAUAAAGAAACUUCUGAGUGACUGCCAAAAAAAGGAAAAUAUAAGAGUUUCAAAAAUUUAGUCCAGAGUCUGACUCAUGUCUAUGAAGACUCUUUCUUUCAUUUCUUUUUAUUAUUCUUUAAUCAGUCCUGUUGCUUGUCAAUCAUAUGAGACCGUUCUCCAAAAUGCAUGGCAGUGAAAAAUUUAUCCUAAUUCAGUAUAACCUCAGGAAAUUUUCAAGGCACCCUUAUGAUAUACUAUUUAGUAGUGACCUGAACGAGGGGGUGAGUAUCUGUGUGUGUGCUGCUGUUCUGCUAUUUCUGCUUAUGUGACAUUUUAGUUUCUGCAUGUAAAAUGCUUUAGAAAUUACUGGUUUAAUUUACUUUAUUUUUCUCUUUGCUCCUCAAUAAUCCUUUCCUUUUCCAGGUUAAUUUACGGAAAUCUGUAAAGAGCUACAUGCAAAUUCCUUGCUUCAAAACGGAUAUUUCUAGAAUUAUAGCUAUUAUGUCCUUACACAGCCACCUCACGUGCUGUGUACCGCAUCCACUCUAUAACAAGUUAUGCUUAUGGAAAUUGGGGUGUAGAAGAGUCGAUGUCUUUUAUGAGACAUCACUUCAUGACUUUUAUCUUCUAAGUCAAAUAUAACUGAAGAAAUAUCUCAGGCUUGCUAAAUUGACUUUGAACCACACAAGGUAACUACACAAUGACGUAAUGUUAAUUUAGAGAAAUAUUAUGAUAUGAGAGGAAUUCUAGUCUGUUCAUGUGUGAGAAGUCAUAUUGGGGAUAGAAAAACUACUUUAAAAUAAGUAAUACCCUACAUCUUACAAAACUUGGGAGGGAAACCGUGCAGGGUAGUGACUUCUUCCCUCUUCUUAUGUUGUCAGUGUGUGGCCAUGACUUCUGUUAUGCUUUACUUAUAUAUUUCGUAAAGAUCAUGCUCUGGUAAGCUCACAGCUCCUGGAGCACUUCCACAGCCACUAUGAAAGUCAAAGAAUUGAAAUAUACAGUUUCUGUUUUACUUUUUGUCAUCUGUAUUAGAUAUACGUAUAGAUGGCGGGCAGUUAAUAUUUGAUAAAAGGGAAAAAAAGCCCUAAAUGUUCAAAUAUAUUAUCUGUAUACCUGAUUUUUAAUUUCCUUUCUUUGAAGAUACUUCCCAAUAAAAUAUACGGUGAGUUUGACUAAGUCUUCCCCGUUUUGUGCCUUUAUUGCUUGGGGGGAAUAUUAGGUCAUGCAGAUUGGGAAGAACAGAGGAUGAGAAAAUAUUCUACACUGAGAAAACAUUGUAAUUUCUUGUAAUGUUUAGUGAUGCAGAGAGAAACUGAAGCUUGUCCAGCUCAGUGCAUUCAGGUUAGAUUUAGGAAAAGAUCUUUAGAAAGAGAAAUCAAAAUAAUUGUGUGUGUAUACAUAUAAUGUUAAUGUACCUGUGCUUCAGAAGAAAAAAAUAAUUAGUUUAUUAGUAUUCUCAUUUGAUGUCCAAGAUAUGUUGAAAUUAUUCAAAUACUAUUUAAUUAGCAGGAGGGAAGGAAAUGUCACAUAGUGAUAUUCAAGCACCUUUAGAUAUCUAUAAGAAACUCGAAAUUUAAGAUCCAAGGUCAGAAUUUAAAGACUUCGACCUCAUGUGUAUUUCAGUGUGGAGAAUCUGUUUACUCACCAAGUGAUGAGUACAUGAACCUCCUACAGGAAGAUGAGAUAAUAGCCAUUAAGAUUUGCUGGACGAAAUCAUUCCAUUUUUUCUUCGAAGGUUUUUGGUCAAAGGUUGAGUUGUAUGAAAAAAUAUUAGCAAGGCAGCAAGGGGCCAUUAUUAUAUAUAUAUAUAUAUAUAUAUAUAUAUAUAUAUCACUAAGGACUUUGAAUUCCUUUGGAAAGGAAUAUUCAGGAUUUAAAAGGGUAUAAGUUUAUGAGAACAUAACUACAAGUAUAUAUUGACAAGGGAAUACUUUGCUUCAUCAUACAGCACUGUGGAAUCUUUUCCAUUGAAAGUGUUGCACAUGAUUCCAAAUAAAAAUAUUUUAAAAAGCUUAAAUACCACUACUGACUGUGUAUUGUAAGAUAGAUAAUAAUUAGGAAAAAGCAGGAAAACAUAUAAGGUGUUAUAUUACUUUUGACACUCUAUAAAUAUUUAGGGAUGGGGCAGUAAAAAAUUAUUAGUUUUUUGGUAAAAUAAAAAGUUCUGCUUUCUUUGGUUGAAAAUCCAUAUUCCUUGACUGCCCAGAAAUUCUAGUGUCUUUUUUUCUCAAUAAUUUCUAUGCUUUCUUUUCUCCUUAUUCAGGUUCCUUUUUCAUUUUUCUCUUUUGAAACAACUUGUGAGAUUUUGAUUAUUUAGUUUUAGUUUUUCUGUGGUUCCAGCUUUCCCAGUUUCUGUUCCCUCCCAUUAUUCUGCUCAGAGCAUUAGGCUGAAAUUGCUCUGGGGGGUGAGGACACACGUGCCACCAGGACAGAGUAGGUGUUUGUUAGGAAGUGUGGACUGUUGUUCCCGUUCUGACUAUGGUAUUUAUGUCUUGGUUGUCCUUGUAGUAAUCUGUGUUAAAUGGCAGCAUGAAAGCAGGGAUGGAAACAGACCUUGCUUUUUACUGAACCGGUCACAAUUUUGCCUACCAGGUUUAGCAGGCAAAAGUCAUACUUCAAAAUAAAUUCAAAAUUUUAUGGUUGAUAGUUCUGAAGGCCAUAAGAUUUCUUCAUUUACACAAAUUCUUGAUUUCUAGAAAAAUUGGUCAAGGACAAGGGCUUCUUACUGCUUCUGAAUGAGUAGGAACAAGAGCUAUUUCGUGUUUCUCAAGAGGUCUGUAAAGCCCAUGUUCCACACUGUACCUACAGUUUAGUUACAGAUUUGCAGCGAACAUUUGUCCUUUCUUCAACACCUUUAAUCAGUUUAAUUUCUCAGUUCUGUUUUCUGUGCUGCACUUCCCUCCAUAUGGUCGUUUCUCUCCAAACCUUUCUUUCAUUAAAUUUUUCCCAGUCUUCCUCACUUUAGCAGUUCUGCUCUGGAUGUGUAUUGCUUUGUGUAUUUGACAACUUACCUGAAGAUGUGGCAGUGUUAAAGUGUGGUAUAGAGAGACCCGAGUUAAAUUUUAAACAGAUUAUUCCAUUUGUAACUGCAGCCUCUACAGAGCAUUUUCAGUUCAGUAGCAGCUGUAAAUCAUAACCCUCACCCCCUCAAAAAAAAAGGGGGGAGGGAGGGGGAAGAGGAGAGGAAAAAUCUCUUGCAUUGUACUUUGUAUUUCAACAGCUAUCCUGUGAUGGGAACCCAAACAAUUUGAUUUAAAACUUAACAAAGAAGUAUCCCCCACUGUUACACUGGAGACAUUAUUUUAUCUGCAAUGUUGAUGAACCUAAAAAUUAAUGUUAUGAAUGCUCUGGUUCUGCUUCAAGAGUUUGGUUGUUGGGCUGAUGUCUCACAUCUGUGCAAAGAAAAUACUGUUUCACCACCUGCAACAUCUCUGUGCGUAAGGGGAGGGACGUCUGGGUAAGCAAAGAUGCUGGAAUUCCUGCACAUUAACGUAGCCUUUGUUCUUUUCUUCUCAAGCUCAACUUCUCACUGUGCACAUAUAAAUUUUAUCUCCUCUUCUUUACUCAGCACUAGAAUGCUCAGCCCUAGGCUUCUCCGUGACAAUGAAUCAACUGACUGAACGCUCCAUUCCCAGCACAGAAAUACAGGCACUGGGGACCAUAUGACACACAAAAAUUUCCAGAGGCUUCCAAGUGUCACUCAAGCUGAGUUUCUGCAGAGCUCUUGGAGUCUACAUCUAAAAGUCACCAUCUGGCAAAGAAUAUCCAAGGAAAUCCAGAGAGGUAUGAUUACAGAACCAGCAUUGCAAGAAGGUUGUUGCAGACCAUGUGAAUGUUCAGUGUGAAGAUCCUGAUGCGCUUUACAGAAAUAGCAAAGCUGAGAAUGGGUGCUACAUGAUUGCUUUUUCCUACACCAAAGAGUUUGCCUAAGCAAGUAGUUUCCAUCUCCUGCUCAGCUUGGCUUCUUUUUGUCUAGCGAGAGCGUGAGCAACAGCCGUGAGCAGCAGCUUUCUUACUGCCCGUCAAGGACAGAACGAAGCACUCGCCUUCCUGGCCACUGAGAAACCAGAUAAAAGAGUGACUUGGAACAGAGCCAGUCAAAUGGGGAGCUAAAUAAUCUCCCUGAUGGAAUUUCAGCACAUGAGGCGGCUCAAGUCAGCUCUUUUGGUGAGAUCCUGGUUUCGUGCCACUUCACUGCUACUUCUGUUGGCCUGGUGUAGCUGUGGACUGGAGAUGGGACACUAUGACACCUGCUGAGGAGGACCCGGAUACAGAGAGGUGGUUAUAUUUUUAACCCAAUGAGUUUUCCCAUCCAGUUCAUCAUGUUUCAACAGAGGAACCUGGACUGACAGAAUGCAGAGAGUGUAGGAAAGCAACUUAAACUAACAUUUUUAAUACUGCUUUUGCUUUCUAGCAACCCCUUGACUGCAUGUUGGGCUAAGAGAGAAAGAAGGUGUCAUGGUCUUCUUGGGAAACACAAGGUCCCAGAACCACAGCAGGGAAUGAGGAAGUUGACAUUUUACCAUGACUGGCUUCUACCUUGUCUGAUAAUUCUCUUAGAAUCAUCAACACAUCACAGAUAAUAUGAUACUAUAUUUGCUUUCUCGAUGAAAGUCUAAGGGUCUAAUGUGUCUCGGGUGAAAUGCUGGUAGAAACAUAUCCGCUGUUCCUUGUUUAUUAAGUUUCUUACUUGUUCAGUUCUAGCUGUUAGUAUGUGGUUUCCUCAAACUGUUUAGUGUCUUAUAAAGUAUCUGGAAGCUUCUUACAUAAAUAUGAAAUAACGGGGACAUCAGUGUAGCACCAAGAAUUACUCUCUGCACAAAAAUUUCAUGGAAGGGGAACAAUUACUAUCAAUCCGCUUAAGAUUUCUCUAGAAGAGAACAAAGCCAGAGAAAAGCACUUAUCUUUAUCAAAUCUUAUAACAAAACACAGGAUCUACUUUGACAAUGAAAUUAAGUUUGUUCUAUAAAUAUUGACUGGUAUUACUAAUAGUUUAUUAUUUGCUUCUUUAUUGACUGAGUCCUGGAUUGGGGUUUGCUUGUUUUGGUUAUUGUUUUUUUUUUUUGUCCAAGACUGUUGUCAGGCUACAUUUACAGUUUCGUGAAAGAGUGGAGGACUCAGGCUGCUAAAGUUUUUUUCCUUGGCCUGAUUUUCCAUAAGGCUUAAUACAAAUUAUAUGUAGUUUUGGAUUUAAAAAAAAAGAAAAAAAAAAAAGAAAGAAGAAAGAUAAAAAUGAAAAGAAAUAAAAGCGUUACCUAGGUAAGCAAAGUCAUUUAGUAUUAUUCAACAAUUAAAUUGUUUUUAUGGUAUAAAGACUGCACCUGUUUCUUUUCAGAAUUUCAAACUGAAAUACUUGUUAAAGAGAUUUCGUCAUCUCUGUCUACUAAUAGACCUAUACCAGUAGGAAGAUUUUGUUCUUUGCUAUGUUUUUGGGUUGUUUCCUGCCUUCCUGCCAUCCUCCAGUAGCUAGACCUUAUUUUUCGUAAUACUGGGACCCAAGAUUUUAGUGUACUGUCUUCAGUUUCUUGUAUCAGUUCCGUGCUUUUAAUAAUGUCCUAGUUUUACUGCUUGCUUAAUAUUUUUCCAUUUUAUUUCUAAUUUAUACCUUCACAUUGAUACAAGUGAACUUUCAUCAAAUCUUCCCUGUUUCUUGAGAGAGGAUGUUUUCUUGUCUGUGAGCCUUGAACCCGACGGCGGUUCUUGUCUCUCAAAGGUAUCCCAAAGCACCAGUGUCAGAAAUCCUUGCUUUCUCUCGUGGCUUCUCAGGGGAAGUUAUGUUAGUUAUUAUUCUGUUCCUUGAACUCUUAAACAUAUAAAGAAGGUCAUUCAGAAGCCUAAUGAGAGAGCGUAUGACAUUAUGCUUGCAGUAUGCAUUCACCCCUUUAUUGGAAGGAUUUCUUUGUAUGCAAGUUACUCUGCCUUCCCCAGUUCAGCAAAGUUAAAGCUGUGUGAGCUCUCUAAAGUGGAUGCCAUGAUGCCAUGUGGGAAUAACAUAUAUUUGUACAGAUUAGGCUUUAUCUGUUCAGAAAAGGUAUCACAGUGUAGCUUUCUUCCAUUUUGACUAUACAGGUACAGCUGAAAAAAAAAUAAAAUUUGUUGGUUUGCUUUGCUUUAAGCUGAGUCAUAUCUGAGCUGUACAAUGCCCUUUAUCAGAAUUAGGGGGGAAGGUGGUUUGUGUUGUCAUGUUCAUGCACUGAACUGAAUUUUUUCAAUGCUUACAGCUGGAUCUGCAUCAGGUUUUAGGAUGUAUAGUCCUGGCUUUAACAAGAUUCUGGAACAGUCUAUUAAAGCAAAUAAUUUUCAUGUA